UCUGAGGAAUGAUGACAGAAAAGGCCGAAUUACAGUGCCCCUUAGCAGUUUUCUCUCUAUGGGUGGCAUAAUGAAAAAAAUCCUUGAAGCGAAAAUUAAACUGACCUCAGC